rnacentral:lncRNA from 1 species
ACACAGGAAAGAAAUCAACAAAGAAAAAUUACGUGUUUUUUUUUUUAAAUAGGUCAGGUGAGGUCUGCUGUGUGUGUGCCUCUGCUCAUAUCCAAGGUUGAAUAGGAUAUGAAAGAGACAAGAAUCUUUGAUGAAAUGGCUGGAAUUUAACCUCUGCUUCUACCCUUCAGUUUUACUAAAUACCCAUUUGAAGUUUAUCAGAGGUUCGAGCUGCUGUUACAGAAUCUUCUGCCUGUGCCUGGCUCCAAGAAGCUGUAGCAUGCAUAGCAGCCACACCCCGGUAAAACCAUCUCAGCAGACAGGCUAAACCAGGUUGAAGAUAAACAACAGGCCUCAAAAAGGUCAGUCAGUUAGGGGGAUGUCUACCCCAAGCAUGUGAAGACUUCCCCCGGCUGCAUGGGUGGAUGAGAGCAAUUUGUUCCAGUGUCCAUGAAAGCAGCUGAAGCAGGUGGUGUGGACUGCUUAGACCUUGGUCAGACAUCCAAGGUACCAAGAUCAUCCAUAGCGUCCUGGGCCAUAGCCACUCGUGCUAACUUUUGUCUUGUCACUGGACUCUGACGACACUGAAAGAGAGUGAGGUUGACCUUUGUCCAACUCCGCCUCACUUAAAUCCAGUUCACUUGAGAGUCAAGACAUUACCCCAUGAUGUCAUGGGUCCUCUUUGAAAACAAAGGACAAACAGCAAGAAAGGAGAGGAAAAAAAUCUGAUUAUGUAAAAAGAAAGUUCUGGAUCUACUGGUAGCCAGAAAAAUGAAAGAGCCUUGUAUUUUUACUCGUGUUUACAUUUCAAUGAAGUUUAAUUUUGGGGGAAAACCCUAUAACUCAAGUACUAUUCACAAGUAACCUAUUAUAUGAGAGUCUUAAGAGCAUAUUGAAUUUGAAGUCAUAUAAGACUUGGGUUCUGGUCCUGAUUCUGUCACUGAAUGACUUUUACUCUCUGAGUUUCCAUUUCCUCAUAUACAAAAUGGGAGUAACAGCACUUUCCCCAGACAUGACUUUCCAUCUCCCACAGUUAUGCCCUUGUACAAGAUUUACCCCCUCCCAUAUCACCCCCACACACCAUGCCUGGAAUGUGCUCCCUCCUCACUUCUGCCUGUUGUAAUCUUUAGAUUCCUUCAAAGCAAGGCUCAUGUGUCACCCCCCAGAGAAGACCCUUCUCAGCCCUUCC